ACAGAGGGCUCGAGCGUUAAUCGGAAUCACUGGGCUUAAAGCGUGCGUAGGCGGAGGCGUAAGUGUCUUGUGAAAUCCCACGGCUCAACCGUGGAACUGCGAGGCAUACUGCGUCUCUUGAGGUCGGUAGAGGUCGCCGGAACUGUAGGUGUAGCGGUGAAAUGCGUAGAUAUCUACAGGAACGCCAAUGGUGAAGACAGGCGACUGGGCCGAUUCUGACGCUCAGGCACGAAAGCGUGGGGAGCAAACAG
rnacentral:rRNA from 1 species